rnacentral:sRNA from 1 species
CGCCCCGCCCCGUCCCCGGGCGUCUCCAUUUUGGUCUCAGGUGUGGACUCGGCAAGAACCAGCGCAAGAGGGAAGCGGAGUUAUAGCUACCCCGGCCGCGGAGCCGGCUCACUGCACUACCCCCGCCCCCUUCUUUCCUCCAGACGCCGAAGUCGCGGGCGCUCAUGGCGGGCCUGGAGGUACUGUUCGCAUCGGCAGCGCCGGCCAUCACCUGCACGCAGGACGCGCUCGUCUGCUUCUUGCAUUGGGAAGUGGUGACACACGGCUACUACGGCUUGGGUGUCGGUGACCAGCCGGGUCCCAAUGAUAAGAAGUCAGAACUGCUGCCAGCUGGGUGGAACAACAAUAAAGACCUGUAUGUCCUCCGGUAUGAGUAUAAGGAUGGGUCCAGAAAGCUCCUUGUGAAAGCCAUCACCGUGGAGAGCAGCAUGAUCCUCAAUGUGCUGGACCUACAAGAACAGUGAGGAGCUUCGGUCUCGUAUUGUGUCUGGAAUCAUCACACCUAUCCAUGAGCAGUGGGAAAAGGCUAAUGUAAGCAGUCCCCACCGGGAGUUCCCCCCUGCUACCGCCAGAGAGGUGGACCCACUCCGGAUUCCUCCACACCACCCACACACCAGUCGGCAGCCUCCCUG